rnacentral:misc_RNA from 1 species
AAGACUAUAGACCUGCGGAGUACCUGCGGAGGGAUCAUUACCGAGUGAGGGCCCUCUGGGUCCAACCUCCCACCCGUGUUUAUCGUACCUUGUUGCUUCGGCGGGCCCGCCGCCAGGCCGCCGGGGGGCAUCUGUCCCCGGGUCCGCGCCCGCCGAAGACACCUGUGAACGCUGUCUGAAGAUUGCAGUCUGAGCGAAAAGCUAAAUUAUUAAAACUUUUAGCAAUGGAUCUCUAGAUCG